GAAGCGCAGAGGGCGGGGGACCUUUGGGCGGUGCGUGGGAGGCGCUGAAGAAGAUAAACUUUUCCCAGCGGCGACCGCUGGGGGAUGACCAAUCAUAUCAAGUGGUUCCCAUGACGAAUUUGACGCUAUGCGAUCCAAGGCUGGAGACUUUCUUCUGCAAAGAUGGCUGACAAAAAUACUAGGUUGGAAGCAAAUGGACUCCUGAAACAACCAGCAAACCAGGCUGUCGUCUUGUGAAACAGUGGGUGUAAAGAAUCUAGCUAGCUAAAGCAUUUACUGCAAAUUGAAUGUACAAUUUUGUACGCUUCCCUUGCUGAUAUUUGCCAUGUAAUGCAGAUAGAUGAAUAACGAAUAACAGUGGAGGAUAAACAUACCUGUAUGCCUAUGGAUGUGAAGCUAGCUAUCUAGCCCCAUCGCAACGUUUGGUAUACAAAUGAGUUCAGAACCUAGCUAUGAAUCUCAGCUAUCAUAGCCAGUUGUAUCAACUUCAAAA